GUGUCAGCCGCCGCGGUAAUACGGAGGAUGCAAGCGUUAUCCGGAAUCAUUGGGCGUAAAGCGUCCGCAGGUGGCACUUCAAGUCUGCUGUCAAAGGUCGGGGCUUAACUCCGAACAGGCAGUGGAAACUGAAGUGCUCGAGUGCGGUAGGGGCAGAGGGAAUUCCUGGUGUAGCGGUGAAAUGCGUAGAGAUCAGGAAGAACACCGGUGGCGAAAGCGCUCUGCUAGGCCGCAACUGACACUCAGGGACGAAAGCUAGGGGAGCGAAUGGGAUUAGAUACCCCAGUAGUCCUAGCUGUAAACGAUGGACACUAGGCGUUGGACGUAUCGACCCGUUCAGUGCCGUAGCUAACGCGUUAAGUGUCCCGCCUGGGGAGUACGCACGCAAGUGUGAAACUCAAAGGAAUUGACGGGG
rnacentral:rRNA from 1 species